rnacentral:rRNA from 1 species
GACGAACGCUUGCGGCGUGCUUAACACAUGCAAGUCGAACGGAAAGGCCCUGCUUUUGUGGGGUGCUCGAGUGGCGAACGGGUGAGUAACACGUGAGUAACCUGCCCUUGACUUUGGGAUAACUUCAGGAAACUGGGGCUAAUACCGGAUAGGAGCUCCUGCUGCAUGGUGGGGGUUGGAAAGUUUCGGCGGUUGGGGAUGGACUCGCGGCUUAUCAGCUUGUUGGUGGGGUAGUGGCUUACCAAGGCUUUGACGGGUAGCCGGCCUGAGAGGGUGACCGGCCACAUUGGGACUGAGAUACGGCCCAGACUCCUACGGGAGGCAGCAGUGGGGAAUAUUGCACAAUGGGCGGAAGCCUGAUGCAGCAACGCCGCGUGCGGGAUGACGGCCUUCGGGUUGUAAACCGCUUUCGCCUGUGACGAAGCGUGAGUGACGGUAAUGGGUAAAGAAGCACCGGCUAACUACGUGCCAGCAGCCGCGGUGAUACGUAGGGUGCGAGCGUUGUCCGGAUUUAUUGGGCGUAAAGGGCUCGUAGGUGGUUGAUCGCGUCGGAAGUGUAAUCUUGGGGCUUAACCCUGAGCGUGCUUUCGAUACGGGUUGACUUGAGGAAGUUAGGGGAGAAUGGAAUUCCUGGUGGAGCGGUGGAAUGCGCAGAUAUCAGGAGGAACACCAGUGGCGAAGGCGGUUCUCUGGGCCUUUCCUGACGCUGAGGAGCGAAAGCGUGGGGAGCGAACAGGCUUAGAUACCCUGGUAGUCCACGCUGUAAACGGUGGGUACUAGGUGUGGGGUCCAUUCCACGGGUUCCGUGCCGUAGCUAACGCUUUAAGUACCCCGCCUGGGGAGUACGGCCGCAAGGCUAAAACUCAAAGGAAUUGACGGGGCCCCGCACAAGCGGCGGAGCAUGCGGAUUAAUUCGAUGCAACGCGUAGAACCUUACCUGGGUUUGACAUGGAUCGGGAGUGCUCAGAGAUGGGUGUGCCUCUUUUGGGGUCGGUCCACAGGUGGUGCAUGGCUGUCGUCAGCUCGUGUCGUGAGAUGUUGGGUUAAGUCCCGCAACGAGCGCAACCCUUGUUCACUGUUGCCAGCACGUUAUGGUGGGGACUCAGUGGAGACCGCCGGGGUCAACUCGGAGGAAGGUGGGGAUGACGUCAAGUCAUCAUGCCCCUUAUGUCCAGGGCUUCACGCAUGCUACAAUGGCUGGUACAGAGAGUGGCGAGCCUGUGAGGGUGAGCGAAUCUCGGAAAGCCGGUCUCAGUUCGGAUUGGGGUCUGCAACUCGACCUCAUGAAGUCGGAGUCGCUAGUAAUCGCAGAUCAGCAACGCUGCGGUGAAUACGUUCCCGGG